UUUUGUGGAGGGUUCGAUUCUGGCUCAGGAUGAACGCUGGCGGCGUGCUUAACACAUGCAAGUCGAACGGGAUCCACCGGGCUUUGCUUGGUGGUGAGAGUGGCGAACGGGUGAGUAAUGCGUGACCGACCUGCCCCAUACACCGGAAUAGCUCCUGGAAACGGGUGGUAAUGCCGGAUGCUCCAGUUGAUCGCAUGGUCUUCUGGGAAAGCUUUCGCGGUAUGGGAUGGGGUCGCGUCCUAUCAGCUUGACGGCGGGGUAACGGCCCACCGUGGCUUCGACGGGUAGCCGGCCUGAGAGGGCGACCGGCCACAUUGGGACUGAGAUACGGCCCAGACUCCUACGGGAGGCAGCAGUGGGGAAUAUUGCACAAUGGGCGCAAGCCUGAUGCAGCGACGCCGCGUGAGGGAUGGAGGCCUUCGGGUUGUAAACCUCUUUUAUCGGGGAGCAAGCGAGAGUGAGUUUACCCGUUGAAUAAGCACCGGCUAACUACGUGCCAGCAGCCGCGGUAAUACGUAGGGUGCAAGCGUUAUCCGGAAUUAUUGGGCGUAAAGGGCUCGUAGGCGGUUCGUCGCGUCCGGUGUGAAAGUCCAUCGCUUAACGGUGGAUCCGCGCCGGGUACGGGCGGGCUUGAGUGCGGUAGGGGAGACUGGAAUUCCCGGUGUAACGGUGGAAUGUGUAGAUAUCGGGAAGAACACCAAUGGCGAAGGCAGGUCUCUGGGCCGUUACUGACGCUGAGGAGCGAAAGCGUGGGGAGCGAACAGGAUUAGAUACCCUGGUAGUCCACGCCGUAAACGGUGGAUGCUGGAUGUGGGGCCCGUUCCACGGGUUCCGUGUCGGAGCUAACGCGUUAAGCAUCCCGCCUGGGGAGUACGGCCGCAAGGCUAAAACUCAAAGAAAUUGACGGGGGCCCGCACAAGCGGCGGAGCAUGCGGAUUAAUUCGAUGCAACGCGAAGAACCUUACCUGGGCUUGACAUGUUCCCGACGGUCGUAGAGAUACGGCUUCCCUUCGGGGCGGGUUCACAGGUGGUGCAUGGUCGUCGUCAGC
rnacentral:rRNA from 1 species